rnacentral:lncRNA from 1 species
GAGAAAGAAAGCCGCACAGGUGGAACGUACACAGGUUGUGGUUAAGUCGGCAACUCUCCGUUGGGGUGAUUCUUUGCUGUUUUUCAGAACAAUGUCAUCGAGGCAGCCGGUUGCCGGUGGCUGGAGAGCGAGUGCCGUGAGCGGCGAGGAUCACA